CCUACGGGGGGCAGCAGUGAGGAAUAUUGGUCAAUGGACGAGAGUCUGAACCAGCCAAGUAGCGUGAAGGAUGACUGCCCUAUGGGUUGUAAACCUCUUUUAUAAAGGAAUAAAACGAGGCACGUGUGCCUUUUUGCAUGUACUUUAUGAAUAAGGAUCGGCUAACUCCGUGCCAGCAGCCGCGGUAAUACGGGAGAUCCGAGCGUUAUCCGGAUUUAUUGGGUUUAAAGGGAGCGUAGAUGGGUUGUUAAGUCAGUUGUGAAAGUUUGAGGCUCAACCGUAAAAUUGCAAUUGAUACUGGCAGUCGUGAGUACAGUUGAGGUAGGCGGAAUUCGUGGUGUAGCGGUGAAAUGCUUAGAUAUCACGAAGAACCCCGAUUGCGAAGGCAGCUUACUAGACUGUGACUGACAUUGAUGCUCGAAAGUGUGGGUAUCAAACAGGAUUAGAUACCCUGGUAGUC
rnacentral:rRNA from 1 species